GACGAACCGUGCGAACGUUGUUCGGAUUCACUGGGCUUAAAGGGCGCGUAGGCGGCCGGCCAAGUCGGGGGUGAAAUCGUUCCGCUUAACGGGACCAUUGCCUCCGAUACUGGCCGGCUGGAGGGAGGUAGGGGUGCGCGGAACUUCCGGUGGAGCGGUGAAAUGCGUAGAUAUCGGAAGGAACGCCGGUGGCGAAAGCGGCGCACUGGAUCUCUUCUGACGCUGAGGCGCGAAAGCCAGGGGAGCAAACGGG
rnacentral:rRNA from 1 species